CCAGGUACCAAGCGUUACGAAUGAUCAGAGAACCACAUAUUGACGAUGGAUGAUGUUAUGUUCCAUCAGGUAUCAAUAUUUGUCAAUGGUUCGUCUAGGACAGAAGCGAAAUUACAAAACUAAAAUGUAGUAUCGCAAAGGUCGCACGCUAGUUAUCAAAAUCCCAUGCAUUAUGUUCAAAGCUAAGCCUGCAAUAAAUUACAAUGUGCUCCCAUUCAUGUUGCAAUUGCUUGGCCAUAAGAGUGGGGAUUUG
rnacentral:lncRNA from 1 species